rnacentral:sRNA from 1 species
CUGGGUAUGUGGCAGGGUCUGGGGAGCUGAGGCUCUGGGAGUGGCCGGAGCUGACUCUGGGCCUCUGCUCCCCAGUGUCUGACCGCGACCGCAACCUCAUGGUGUACAUGUACCUGCCUGAAGGUGAGUGCUUCCUCCACCCCCUCUGCCUGGGCCGGGGCUGGGCUAGCAGUGACCCUAGGCCUUUCUGGUCUAGCCAAGGAGAGUUUCGGGGGCAUGCGCCUGCUGCGCCGGGCGGACUUCCACGUGGGUGCCCACGUGAACACGUUCUGGAGGACCCCGUGCCGGGGGGCCGCUGAGGGGCUCAGCAAAAAGUCGGUCGUGUGGGAGAAUAAGCACAUCACGUGGUUUGGUGAGUGUGGCGGGGGCAGGUGUGUCUGGGUGGGGGGGGGGCCCUAGGGUUGGCCUGGCUCACACCAAAACCCUCCCCUUACCCCCCACCCCCCACCAGCCACCCUGGACGGCGGCAUCGGGCUGCUGCUGCCCAUGCAGGAGAAGACCUACCGGCGGCUGCUGAUGCUGCAGAACGCGCUGACCACUAUGUUGCCACACCACGCCGGCCUCAACCCUCGCGCCUUCCGGUGAGCCCCGGCCCUGCCCCUGUGCAGCACCCCUUCCACCCCAGCCUGCCCUGACACCCGUGCCUGUACGCCCCAGGAUGCUGCACGUGGACCGCCGCACCC